rnacentral:lncRNA from 1 species
UUAACAGUAUUUCAUAUUUUUAAAAUUUUCUCAAAAUCUAUGUGUUAACCCCUACGAAAAUAUUGAGUUGUUCGGUAAAUGUUCUAUAUACUGAAGUCCAUGAUCUUUAUUGGUGUUUUAAAAUUUCUAAACACACUUUACAUUUGUAUUAAUUUAUAUCUAACUCUAUUUCAAUGUACAUGGGCGUAGUUUAAAUCGUUUAUCAAUUAACUUAGUACAACUUCACAAUAUUUCUGAAAUUGGUGGACUAACCACUAUAAAUUCGGUAUUUUCUAGAGAAACAGAGUCAACAAAGGUUCCAAACCUCUUCGACCUUCAUCAUAUGUUAGUUCAGGAUGAAACUAUGCAUUAAAACAAUAUUUUCAUAAUUUUGAUUUUUCUCAAAAUCUAUGUGUUAGCACCUACGAAUAUAUUGACUUUUUCAGUAAAUAUUCUCUAUACUGAAACCU